rnacentral:rRNA from 1 species
CCUACGGGUGGCUGCAGUGGGGAAUAUUGGACAAUGGGGGGAACCCUGAUCCAGCCAUGCCGCGUGUGUGAAGAAGGCCCUCGGGUUGUAAAGCACUUUCAGUGAGGAAGAACGCCUGGUGGUUAAUACCCAUCAGGAAAGACAUCACUCACAGAAGAAGCACCGGCUAACUCCGUGCCAGCAGCCGCGGUAAUACGGAGGGUGCGAGCGUUAAUCGGAAUUACUGGGCGUAAAGCGCGCGUAGGUGGCUUGAUAAGCCGGUUGUGAAAGCCCCGGGCUCAACCUGGGAACGGCAUCCGGAACUGUCAAGCUAGAGUGCAGGAGAGGAAGGUGGAAUUCCCGGUGUAGCGGUGAAAUGCGUAGAGAUCGGGAGGAAUACCAGUGGCGAAGGCGGCCUUCUGGACUGACACUGACACUGAGGUGCGAAAGCGUGGGUAGCAAACAGGAUUAGAUACCCCUGUAGUC